AGCUGGACCUGGGUGGAAACAAGCUGCAGGAUUCAGGAGUGAAGCUGCUGUGUGAUCUUGUGGAGAGGCCACACUGUAGACUGAAGACUCUGAGGGUACCUUACAGAGUAUACAGGACUACACCUGUCAGACAUGAAGGAGCUGAUGCGUCCACGUCAAAGACAAACCUGGAUGUGUCUGAGGACAGAAGAGAGGACAGUGUGGAUGAAAAUGAUCCAGGGAGGUUGAAGCAGCAGCAGCGGCAGCUGGUGUGUGAAGAGGAUCUGAACACAAAUAUCAGUUUUUCACUUGAACAUUUUUAUUAAUUUGUCAGUGAUCAGACUGGGGUUUCUUAGUUUUACCCCCUCCAGGGUUCAAUAUUCCUUCUCUUCUUCAUCCUCCUU